rnacentral:rRNA from 1 species
GGGUUGUGAGGUUAAGCGACUAAGCGUACACGGUGGAUGCCCUGGCAGUCAGAGGCGAUGAAGGACGUGCUAAUCUGCGAUAAGCGUCGGUGAGGUGAUAUGAACCGUUAUAACCGGCGAUUUCCGAAUGGGGAAACCCAGUGUGUUUCGACACACUAUCAUUAACUGAAUCCAUAGGUUAAUGAGGCGAACCGGGGGAACUGAAACAUCUAAGUACCCCGAGGAAAAGAAAUCAACCGAGAUUCCCCCAGUAGCGGCGAGCGAACGGGGAGGAGCCCAGAGC